UACGGGGGGAGCAAGCGUUGUUCGGAUUUACUGGGCGUAAAGGGCGCGUAGGCGGUCAGCACAAGUCAGUUGUGAAAUCUCCGGGCUUAACUCGGAAAGGUCAACUGAUACUGUGCGACUAGAGUGCAGAAGGGGCAACUGGAAUUCUCGGUGUAGCGGUGAAAUGCGUAGAUAUCGUAAGGAAGACCAGUGGCGAAGGCGGAUCUCUGGACAGCUCCUGACGCUGAGGCGCGAAGGCUAGGGGAGCAAACGGG
rnacentral:rRNA from 1 species